UCACUCUAUGCGUGGUGUGUGUCGUCAGUGCGUACGCGGCAUCGUAUGGCUACAACAAUGGCUGCCUGCCCUGCCGCGGAUACAAGUCGCAUUUCCCGUGCACACCGAUAGGUAACCACUGCAGGUACGGAGUCGACCCGAACCUGUGCGGAUGCUGCCCGGUCUGCGCUAAGGGACCGGGCACGCUGUGUGGCGGACCGAGGUCGGCAUUCGGACUGUGUGGAACCAACCUGGAGUGUGUGGGAGCGGGAGACCUGAGCGCUCUAUUCGGUGUCCCUGCACCGACACGGCGCCGACACCGGCACCUACACCGGACCCAUACGCAGACUACGCUACCAUGGUUUAACAUCUCGAACCCGUGCAUGGCGUGCGGUGUGCAUGCGUGCGUGUACGCGUACGCACGUGCUUACGUGCGUGAGUGUGUGCGUCCGUGCGUGCAUGCGCGAGUAUGCGUACGUGCGUGCAUGUAUGCGAGCGUGUAUGCGUGCGUACGUGCGUGCGUACGGACGGGAAUUCGUGUGUGUGCGCGUGCCUGCGUACGUGUCUGUACGUGCAUCUGUGCGUGCUUUGUUAAGUUAUAACUUUAUAAGUGUAAAGAUUAAAUUUCAUGGUUUUAUAGUUUUCGUAUUCGCUAUUGUUGUUAUUGCUAUUAUUGUUGUUACUGUUAUUGCAAUAUUACAUUGCUCUAAGCAAGGCUGAUCAUUGUUGUCUUUUUUAGAUCAAUAUGGCAUGUUUAUGCAUUUAACAUAUUAAACAAACUGUUGUAUAAAAAUA